CCCCGUGGUCACCGACGAGCUCAGAAUGUAACUCGCCAUCGCGCUUAUCUCCAUCGGGAUCAGGCCCUCCUCCACCAUUCUGGACUCCGGUCCACCUGGUCCGAGUAGCUCUCGCUUCAGGAACGAAGCAAGCACGAAUGGAGUAUCGCCCACAUCCUCACGACCGGGUUUGAGUCCUCUCCACUUGGCAAUUUUUUUAUCAUGCAGAGCUAGUUGAUUCCUAAAAUAAUUGUUUUCUGAUUUUUGUUUGAUAUCUAGAGUAGAUGCCAGUACCUUGGUUAUGCCAUGUUUGUGGGUGUGAAUUUGGUCAACCAGUAUGUAUUUGAUCACUAGAUGAUUCACAAGUUUUUUAUGAACUGGGCAGGUGAAGCGCAUAAAUAUAUCUCCUUGGUUGUCAGCAAUAUUAGUAUUUGGGUCUUCUUCUUUUUUUCAAUUUUCAAUGCUUCCAAGUAACAAUACAUAUGUUCCCAGCGUACGUUUUCAUGCUUCUUUGGGUAAGAAAGUUACACUUCCAUUGGUCAACAUUUUUUUAUUAAAUCUGUAUGUAGGGGACGCAAAGCAUGCAUCCUCAUAUUGGCAGCAACCUUAUUUGUUUUAUUAUCAAUUUCUCUGCUUCCGACCAAGACGAAUAUUGUUGAGCUGUCAUAUUUUCAUGCUUCCUACGAAUUGUGAUACUGUGUUUAGUAAACUAUUCAUGGGUACAUAGGAUAAGCUUGUUAAUUCCAAUGCCUUGCUUCCAUACCCCUAUUGGCGCCAAUAGUUGUUUUUGUUCCAUUUUCCAAUUCCCAUACUUCCAAGUAACACUACUUAUGUAUCUAGUACCAUUUUUGGUGCUUCUACACUGCAAUACUAUUGCUUUCUUUGGUACAUAAUAAUUCCAAUGGGUCAACAAAAGAUCCGUUAAAUUCAUAUGAUGAUGACCCAAGAGAGGCUUCCUGAUGGUAGCCACAUGUUUUGUUUAUUUCAUUAGUGGACUUCUAUUGUAUGCUUCCAACCUAGACGGGUAAUGUUGAGUUGCCAUGUUUCCGUUCUUCCUACAAUUUGCCAUGUUGUGUUUAACAAAUUAGCUUCUUACUUCUAAUGCCUUGCUUCCAUAAAAUUUGCCAUGCUGUGUUUAAUCUUCAUGUCUUUGUUUAAUCUUCAUGGAUGCUAUAACUGAAUGAGCUAAAUUUUGGAUACUCUGGUCAUGAAAUUGAACAUCACUGUAAGAUGAAAGUGGCAAAAUGGAACUGAAUUAAACUGCAGCAUAAAUGAACAAUACAGAAUGGCAAAAUAAACAUUACAGAAUUGGACAUCUUGCACAAGAGCAGUUCAUCCCACGGACACCCGGCGAUCGUACUUCAAUCAUAGUUGCCACCCUCGGAGCCACCGCUUGAAGCAUUGGUGGCUGUUCUCACAGCAGCACAAGUGUUGCCACCCUUGUAGACCCCCGCCGCUCGGAGCACCACGUCGUCGGCGUCACCACACUCACAACGCCACCACUUGCGGCACACCUAACGGCUGCUCGCAGCACCGAAGGAAUGGUGGCCAGAUGGCACUGCAGCACUGCUUGCAACACAUAAAUUCUGCCUCGACCAAUACUUGUUCAUGCUGCCGUCAAUAUUGUGCAUACAUUUUUUACUGAUAUUAUUAUGCUUACAUUUUUUUACUGAUAUUAUUGUGCAUACGUGUGUGCUUCAACCAUGACUGGUGCUGCUUCUUUGACUAAAGUUAUUGUGCAUACAUUUUUGUUCUUCCACUGCACCUUUUUUGUUUGAACCACUAUUGAUGUGUGCUUCAUUGUUUUUCACUGAUUUAGGGUUUUGUAUAUGCUUCCAUGGUAGUAAACUUUUGCUUCAACCAUUACUUGUGUGUGCUUCUUUUAUUGUAAAGACAUUUUGAUUCAACCAAUUGUAUUAUGCCCUUGAACCAUGGCUAGUGUUUGCUUCUUUUACUGAUAUUGUUUAGCAAAACAGUAGGGAAUACCCCUACUGUUUUUUACUGAUAUUAUUGUACAAGCAUUUUGUUUCUUGUAAUAUUUUUUUUGUAUCAAUCACUACUAAUGCGAGCUUCAUUAUUUUUCACUGAUUUUUCUGUUGUACAGACACUUUGUUGUGCUCGGUUCAGCCGUGCUUCUUCAUUUCAAGAACAUUGGCCACAAUGUUGAGUGAGAUGCAGACACUAGGCACCGUUGUAUGUGGCUGUUACCUUGUUGACAAUGAAGAACUCGCAUCACGCAUGGAGCUCACCCAUGAUCGGCUAGUUCAACGCGAAGUGAUACUGGCUAUGUAGAAGUGAAUUAUUGUAGUUUUGUAAAAAUAAAGGUGUAUACUGUUCUUAUCAAAUAAAUCAGUGUCCGUGUAUAUUUUCGUUUGCCUCUGCACAAUUUAUUCUAGGAAAUGUAAAUGCGUACACCAAACGUGAAUAUUGUUUUUGCUACACCAAAAUAAAUUUUCAAAGCAAGAAACAAUGCUUCAGUCAAUAUAGAAAAAAAU
rnacentral:lncRNA from 1 species